GACGAACCGUCCAAACGUUAUUCGGAAUCACUGGGCUUACAGAGUUCGUAGGCGGUCUGGAAAGUUGGGUGUGAAAUCCCUCGGCCUAACCGAGGAACUGCGCUUGAAACUACCAGACUCGAGGGGGAUAGAGGAAAGCGGAACUGAUGGUGGAGCGGUGAAAUGCGUUGAUAUCAUCAGGAACACCGGUGGCGAAGGCGGCUUUCUGGGUCUUACCUGACGCUGAGGCGCGAAAGCGUGGGGAGCGAACAGG
rnacentral:rRNA from 1 species